rnacentral:rRNA from 1 species
UACGGAGGGGGCUAGCGUUGUUCGGAAUUACUGGGCGUAAAGGGCGCGUAGGCGGCUUGAUAAGGUUGCGGUGAAAGCCCGGGGCUCAACCCCGGGUCGGCCGUGGCAACUGUCGAGCUGGAGCACUGUAGAGGCAGGUGGAAUUCCGGGUGUAGCGGUGGAAUGCGUAGAGAUCCGGAAGAACACCGGUGGCGAAGGCGGCCUGACUGGGCAGUGGCUGACGCUGAGGCGCGACAGCGUGGGGAGCAAACAGG